UUCCAUUCUCAAAAUCCCACUUUUAACCAGCUCCAUUUGAGGUGGAGUUUGUGACCUCUCCCUGCCAACGUGGGGGACACAUUUCUCGAGCAUAAUACAAGAGAACCAGCUCAGGCGGGCGACUCCACGCAUUGCCAUUCACAGGGAAAUGGAAGCAGUAAUUUGGAAGCGGCCGUGUGUGUUGGCGCUGAGGUCCUGCGGGCCUUUCGCUUCGUGUGGUAGCAGGGGUGCUAGCAGCUUCAGAAAGGGCGGACCAGCCCCUCAGAGGACGUUUAUUGUGCGUGCCAUCAAUUCCACAGGUAGCGGAGCAGUGGUGGCGAGGCCUUCUUCAUCGCACAAAUCUAAAAGGAGCGAAGGUGCUGAUGGAAAGCUCGUUGCUCUAAGGCAACUUUUUCACAAGCCGGGUCUGCAGAUGGAUGCUUACAUCAUUCCCUCGCAGGACCCUCACCAGAGUGAAUUUAUUGCUGAAUGCUUCAUGCGCCGAGCUUUUAUAUCAGGAUUUACAGGCAGUGCAGGAACUGCAGUUGUCACAAGGGACACGGCAUCUCUUUGGACUGAUGGGCGAUAUUUCCUUCAGGCAGAAAAUCAGUUGGGUCCUGAUUGGAUGCUUAUGCGAGCUGGCACAGCUGGGGUGCCCACUAUCAGUGAAUGGCUCACUGAUGUCUUAUCACCGGGGUCCAAAGUUGGUAUUGAUCCGUUUCUCUUUUCUUCUGAUGCAGCAGAGGAAUUGAAAGAUACCUUGUCCACAAAGGAUCACAAACUGAUAUAUGUGUAUGAUGGCAACUUGGUUGAUGAGAUUUGGAAAGACAAGCCUGAACCUCCAACUGCUCCUGUAAGAGUACAUGAUAUUAAAUAUGCUGGCUUAGAUGUACCAUCCAAGAUAACUUCUUUGAGACAAAAUCUUUUGGAAGCUGGAGCUACUUCAAUUGUUAUCUCAAUGGUCGAUGAAGUUGCCUGGCUUCUUAACUUGAGAGGAAAUGAUGUGGCACAUUCUCCUGUUGCAUAUGCAUAUUUAAUUGUGGAACUUGAUUCAACAACACUAUUCAUUGAUCCAUCAAAGAUCACUCCUGAAGUAAUGGUUCAUCUCAAAAACUCCAAGGUGACAGUAAAGCCUUAUGGAAGUCUUCUUUUAGAAGUAGAAAGGUUGGCAAAUUGUGGUGCAAAGCUUUGGUUGGAUACAUCAUGCACAAAUGUGGCAAUAGUUGAUGCUUUUCAUUCUGCAUGCAAUAAGUACUUUGAAAAUCUGGCCAAGAGAAGUAAACAGAAAAGUAUUAAAGAAAGAAAGAAGUUACUAGAUGCAAAAUCCAUGGACAUUGAGAUGGAAGGACCUUUGGCAAUACAUAAGACUUCGCCAGUAGCAAUUGCAAAGGCAAUAAAAAAUGAGGCAGAACUUGAAGGGAUGAGGCAAGCUCACUUAAGAGAUGCAGCAGCUCUUGCUGAAUUCUGGACAUGGCUGGAGACAAAAGUUGUCCAAGAUAAAAUGGCCCUCACAGAAGUGGAGGUUACAGACAGGUUACUGGAGUUCCGAUCUAAGCAAGCUGGUUUUCUUGAUACGAGUUUUGACACAAUAAGUGGCUCUGGUGCGAAUGGUGCAAUUAUUCAUUAUCGGGCUGAACCAGAUACUUGCAAUGUUGUGGAUGAUAAGAAGCUGUACUUGCUAGAUAGUGGUGGGCAAUAUGUUGAUGGUACAACAGAUGUUACCAGGACUGUACAUUUUGGAGAACCUUCGUUGCGAGAAAAGGAAUGCUACACAAGAGUCUUGCAGGGCCAUAUAGCUCUUGAUCAAGCAAUAUUUCCUGAGAACACUCCUGGCUUUGUGCUUGAUGUAUUGGCACGUUCUUCACUUUGGAAGAUAGGAUUGGACUACCGCCAUGGAACAGGUCAUGGAGUAGGAGCUUCACUGAAUGUACAUGAAGGACCUCAAGGUAUUAGUUAUCGCUAUGAAAACAUGACUGGUUUGCUGGGAGGUAUGAUUGUGAGUAAUGAGCCUGGAUAUUAUGAGGACCGAUCCUUUGGCAUUCGCAUUGAGAAUCUUGUGAUUGUUCGAGAAGUGGAGACACCAAAUCGAUUUGGAGGCAAUAGCUAUCUUGGAUUUGAAAAGCUUACAUUUGUUCCUAUCCAGAGCAAGCUCCUUGAGCUGUCCUUAAUGUCACCUGCAGAAGUCAAAUGGUUAAAUAACUAUCAUUCUGAAGUUUGGAAAAAGGUUUCACCUCUCGUUCAGGGAAAUGUUCGUGAGUGGCUUUGGAAGAACACACGACCAGUUUCUAUACAUUCAACAGCUUAAGGAGCUCCCCUAGAUGCAUAUCAUGUUGGAUAUUGUGAAAGAUUACGUCUCACUUUGUGAACCACGAAAUGUAAUACAUUGCUAGGCGUCAACAAGGAAAAUCCAGAAUGUCUGCGAGGCAUCAAAUGCUACAUUAAUUGCUCCUCUUAUUCUGUACGUAUUGAUGAAAUAGGAAAAAGUGAACAGGAUGAUUGUCAAAAAUAUCAUUUAAUUGUUUGGAUACGUUAAGCCUUCUCCUAACAUGAUUACGGUUUUGAAUCACCUGUACAAGAUUUAGAAUACGCAGAACUGGAAAAGCAGUAGGUCUAACAGUGGUUGCAAAAUGAUAUCUAUUAGGCAUUUUCUAUGCAAUGGAUCAAACCACUGUAAUUCAUGGACAAAUGUAAAAAAAGAGGUGCUCUAGGUUGAACUUAGAAGUAGAAUGUAGAACAUAGGACAUUGUGUUUGAUAUAUUGUUUUCUAUUUGAGUUAGCAGUGAAAUAAUUUGUACAAGAGAAGAAUAUAAUUGAAAACAUACUGCAACUAUUCAAGAAUAAUAAGUCAUUUAGAGGGGAUAGAUCCUUAGAUUUUACAA